UGGAGCAUGUGGUUUAAUUCGACGCAACGCGAAGAACCUUACCUGGGUUUGACAUCCCUGUCGUAUUCCAUGGAAACAUGGGAGUCAGUUCGGCUGGACAGGUGACAGGUGCUGCAUGGCUGUCGUCAGCUCGUGUCGUGAGAUGUUCGGGUUAAGUCCCGCAACGAGCGCAACCCCUACGUUUAGUUGCUAACGCGUGAAGGCGAGCACUCUAGACGAACUGCCGUUAAUAAACCGGAGGAAGUGGGGAUGACGUCAAAUCAUCAUGCCCCUUAUGACCUGGGCUACACACGUGCUACAAUGGUUGGUACAACGAGUUGCGAGUCGGUGACGGCGAGCUAAUCUCUUAAAGCCAAUCUCAGUUCGGAUUGUAGGCUGCAACUCGCCUACAUGAAGUCGGAAUCGCUAGUAAUCGCGGAUCAGCACGCCGCGGUGAAUACGUUCCCGGGCCUU
rnacentral:rRNA from 1 species